AGAAAAGGAAUGCAUGUACAUUUUAUAAUACUCCAAGUGAUACAGAAAUAUCUAACAAAGGGAAAGUCUCCCAUAGUCCUGCUCCACAGAUAAAGCCACAGGGUGGUUUAUGUUCGUCUAACAAGUGCAUUGUUUAGUGAUUCAGUAUUUGUAAGAUAGGAAAAAAUAACAGAAGGAAAACACUAAAAUGUUAACAGCAGUUAACUCUAACCAGUGGUUUAGUGCUGAGUUUUUGCUCCUUUUUAUGUUUUCUAAUGUGCCUGCCUAAACAUUUAAUUAUUUUAAAUAUUUAGAAAAACGUGUACAUUUUCAAUUUGUCUCUUCCUUAAAAUAUAGUCUGUAAUUAUAUUCAAACUUGCCUUUUUACAAUUUUGCCUCUCAUCUAAAACAAAAUUCCCUCUAAGAAUAAAAUAAAAAGACUAGUAUCUACAAUUAAGAGGAUUUAAAAACUAUAAUAAUAGUGGCCAGUGGGGGGCCGGGCGCGGUGGCUCACGCCUGUAAUCCCAGCACUUUGGGAGGCCGAGGUGGGCGGAUCACUUGAAGUCAGGAGUUCCAGACCAGCCUGGCCAACACGGUGAAACCCCAUUUCUACUAAAAAUACAAAAAUCAACCGGGCGUGGUGGCAUGCGCCUGCAGUCCCAGCUACUCGGGAGGCUGAGGCAGGAGAAUCGCUUGAACCCAGGAGGCGGAGGUUGUUGUAAGCCGAGAUCCUGCCACUACACUGCAGCCUGGGAGACAGCGAGACUCCAUCUCAAAAAAAAAAAAAAAAAAAUCUCGCAUCAACACUCCUACGCAAAUGUCUCUGCUAUUCAUUCAAUAACUGGUCAUCAACCUCCACCCCCAAACACAACUGUCAGGUCUAUGUCGUUCCCAAGUAGGCAGGUCUGUGACCCUCACGAGGAAAGGGAGUGUGUUGGCCUGUCCGUCUCCAAGGCCUCGCCACACAACAGUCCCUCAGCGGUUUCGCUGUUCUGCGAGGUCUUUACCCCGGGAUGUUCCGGGGAGUCAAUCCCUCCCCGCCCUAGGCUACGCCGGGAGCGGCCGGCAGCUGACGCGAACUUUCUGCUGGGCCUCCUUUCUCAUUCCUCAGGUUCGGCAGUGCCACACCCGCCACAGGAUUGGUAUCGUAGGAGGGCCUCGCUUGACUACGGCGACUCGUUACUUAUGGGUGAGGAUUUACGCGUGUCCUUCCGGAGGCCACACAUCACUUCCCUUGCUCCGCCCAGUUUAGAGACCUGCGCACCCGCAAGGGCGUGAGAGAGACUAGCCGGCGCGCGGGGACGCCCUUGCACGCCCGCACUUCUGCCGCGUCCCGCCCCAUCGUUGCGCGGCCGCGGGCCAAUCAGAUCGUGCCUCGCCUCUACGCCCCCGGCUCCCCCGGACUUCUGUCCUCCUUUCAGGGCGACUUUGGGAACACAAUAGUCCACUCGCUGACGUUCCCUUAGACGCGUUGCCAUACGUCGUCACCCAUAGAAACGGCUUUCCGCGGGGCAGACUCCAAGCCUAGCUUGUGUGAGCGGGCGGGGGUAGCAGGAAAGGCUGUUUUUCAUUUCCAAGAGAAAACCGUCGCCCCGCCCACCUCGAACCUCCUCCCAACAUCUCAGGAUAGAAACGCCGCGCUCAGGUGCAAAAGGAACUUUAGAUAACGGAAGAGAUCAGCCAAAUUUCAGAACAAGGAUUCAAAUUAUUUCCAUGGAAAAUAAUUACUCACAAAUAGAGACUGGGUCUUGCUCUGUCAUCCAGGCUGGAGUGCAGUGGUGUAAUCAAAGCUUAUAGAAGCCUGGAACUCUUGGGCUCAAGUGAUCUACCUGCCUCAACCUCCCAAGCGGCUGAGACUACAGGCUCACCUGCACCUGUACUCGAUUAAUUUUGUUAAAUUAUUUUUUAUAAAAAUAGAGCCUCUUUGUGUUGCCCAGGCUGGCCUCGAACUCCUGGGCUAAGCGAUCCUCUGGCCUUGUUUUCCCCCCAGAAUUUUAAUACUUAAAGAGCAAUCAGUUAAGACUUCUGCUACUUCCACUUCUUUCUACUCUCCCUGUCUAUGGAGGCACUGGAGUGGCUGUGGGCCUUUUACAGGAUCUGGUUAAGAGGAAACUGAAUACUGUAUAUGUUAGACCUAAAAAAACAAAAAAACAAAACCUUAAAAAAUUUAAAAUAUAUAUAUUUUGUAGAGACAAGGUUUUAUUAUGUUGUCCAGGCUAGACUCAAACUCCUGGCCCUAACUGAUCCUCCUGCCUCAGCCUCCUAAAGUGCUGGGAUUACAGGAAUGAGCCACCAUGCCAGGCCAAAAAAAAUUUUUUUAAGAGAAAGUAAAGUUGGAAAUAUUCUACAUUGUUUUGAUUUGUUUUGUUUUUUUGUUUCUGUUUUUUUUUUUGAGAUGGAGUCUCACUCUGUCACCAAGGCUGGAGUACAGUAGUGCAAUCGCAGCUCACUGCAACCUCGACCUCCCAGGUUCAAGCGAUUCUCCUGCCGCAGCCUGCCGAGUAGCUGGGAUUACAGGCACGUGCCAUGACGCCCGGCUAAUUUUCCUAUUUUUUGUAGAGACGGGGUUUUGCCAUGUUGGCCAGGCUGAUCAUGAACUCCUGACCUCAGGUGAUCCACCUGCCUCGACCUCCCAAAGGGAAAUAUGCUAUUUUUAACAGCUUUACUCGGAUAUUCUUUUUUUAUUUUAUUUAUUUAUUUAUGAGUCCCCAGGUCUUUUCCAUCCAAACACUGCUGAAGUAAGAGACAGAUCUGUAGGACCACUGAACACGCUGUCUACUCAGUAAGAGACAGAUCUGUAGGACCACUGAACACGCUGUCUACUCAG